CCUACGGGAGGCAGCAGUGAGGAAUAUUGGUCAAUGGGAGAGAUCCUGAACCAGCCAAGCCGCGUGAGGGAAGACGGUCCUAUGGAUUGUAAACCUCUUUUGUCGGAGAACAAAAGCCGCCACGCGUGGCGUUCCGCGAGUACCCGAAGAAAAAGCAUCGGCUAACUCCGUGCCAGCAGCCGCGGUAAUACGGAGGAUGCGAGCGUUAUCCGGAUUUAUUGGGUUUAAAGGGUGCGCAGGCGGAAGAUCAAGUCAGCGGUAAAAUUGAGGGGCUCAACCUCUUCGAGCCGUUGAAACUGGUUGUCUUGAGUGAGUGAGAAGUACGCGGAAUGCGCGGUGUAGCGGUGAAAUGCAUAGAUAUCACGCAGAACUCCGAUUGCGAAGGCAGCAUACCGGCGCCAAACUGACGCUGAUGCACGAAAGUGUGGGUAUCGAACAGGAUUAGAUACCCUAGUAGUC
rnacentral:rRNA from 1 species